GCGGACGUGGCGAAACUGGUAGACGCAAGGGACUUAAAAUCCCUCGGCCGCAAGGCUAUACGGGUUCGAUUCCCGUCGUCCGCA
rnacentral:tRNA from 1 species